rnacentral:rRNA from 1 species
CAUGCCACUAACGAAGUAGAGAUACAUUAGGUGCCCGUAGGGAAAGUGGACACAGGUGCUGCAUGGCUGUCGUCAGCUCGUGUCGUGAGAUGUUGGGUUAAGUCCCGCAACGAGCGCAACCCUUGUCUUUAGUUGCUACGCAAGAGCACUCUAAAGAGACUGCCGGUGACAAACCGGAGGAAGGUGGGGAUGACGUCAAGUCCUCAUGGCCCUUAUGGGUAGGGCUUCACACGUCAUACAAUGGUGCAUACAGAGGGUUGCCAACCCGCGAGGGGGAGCUAAUCUCAGAAAAUGCAUCGUAGUCCGGAUCGUAGUCUGCAACUCGACUACGUGAAGCUGGAAUCGCUAGUAAUCGCGGAUCAGAAUGUCGCGGUGAAUACGUUCCCGGGUCUU